rnacentral:rRNA from 1 species
UACGUAGGGUCCAAGGCGUUGUCCGGAUUUAUUGGGCGUAAAGAGCUCGUAGGCGGUUCCGUAAGUCGGAUGUGAAAACUCAGGCUCAACCCGGAGACGCCAUCCGUGAUACUGCGGUGACUGGAGUCUGGGUAGGGGAUCACGGAAUUCCGAGGUGUAGCGGUGAAAUGCGUAGAUAUCUGGAGGAACACCGGUGGCGAAGGCGG